GUAUUUGACCCUGGGGUGGUUUAGGGCAGGGAGAAAAUUGGCUUGCUUUUUGAGAGUUUGAUAAAGGAGAGGGUUGGGGGUGUGGGCUGUGGGUGGGUUGGUUCGUAUAUCAAAGACAGGCUCACAGGAGAGUCUUUCGCCAUGCCUAGGAAUUAGCUAGUCCUGUGAGGGCAGUCUCUCAAGGAUCAAGGCCCCAGAUGCCAGAGCAUCAAGAAUAUGGAAAAUCAGAGAACAUGAUCAAUAUACCAGCUCAUCCCUGGAUGAAGCUCCCUGCCCUUCCUCAUAGAGACAAAAAAGUGCAAUCCUCAAUUUUCCAGCCUACCUUGUAGCUGGGAGCUAUAAAAUGAAGUUCAUCAGGCAUGAGCGGUCUGCUGGUACUGCUUCUUCCCGCUUCCCCUUCUUCUUGCUUUGGGAUGGGAUGCGAUGUUUGCUGCUGUAACAGCCAUU
rnacentral:lncRNA from 1 species